AUAUAUAUUUCGUGCCUGAACUACGUCGUUUUUUGGGCCCACUAUUACAGAUUAUUCCACUUUCCCUUUUCAUUCAAUUUCAUUUUGGCUGCUUCAUCUGCUGCCCUCUCUGCUCUAUCUCUAUCUCGAUCUCUCAGCUGCAAGACACUGCUCUUUCUCGAUCCAUUUAGCAAGACCUUGAUUGAUGUUUGCCCCCAUCAUCAUCUGAUAAAGCCCUUUGACACACACACAAUCAGACUAUCAAACAUAAACCCUAGCGCACACAAUCAGACGAUUCUUGACCAAGGAGAAAGACCGUGUCUCGCCGCCGAUUCUCCUCUUCCGGUUUUCUUCUCCGGCCGAUUCUCUGGCCGAAGUUCGGUCUCUCCCUCUCGGAUUCUCCUCUUUUUCCUCUCUUCUCCCUCGGUUUUGACAGGUUUGUAAGACUGGUUCAACAAACAAAUGUCAUGAAUGUUUACAGCAGAAGACUACAGAUUCAGAAUAUAUUAAAAAAGUGCAGUGCUAAAAAAUCUAAGGAGGAGGCACGUGCUACACGUGUAGAGUUGCAGGAGACGAUUUCAAAAAUGCAAGCCGACUAUGACAACAAGUUGGAAAAUUUACGAGCCAACUACGACGACAAGUUGGAAAAUUUAUAACAACAGAUGGCUAUGCUAAUGCAGAUGCAACAACAAAAUUAUAGUGGACAGGAUUCUGAUUCUUUAAAUGCUCCUUCUAGAGUAUUCCCAAAUCCAUUUUCUAGUCGUGAUGCCAAUUCAGUUAAGGUUAUGAACUUUUAAUUUCUCUUAUAUAUAUAUGUUAAAUUUUCAUUUAUUAUAAUGUGCGCUUAAUGAAUUUAUAAAAAAUGUAAGGUAAUUCAAAUCAAAUGGGCAAGAAGAUUUGUUGAAGUUGAAGUUGAAGAUGGGGUCGUGGCUGUGCUUUUUGAAUUUCCUUCGCCUUGGAUGGGUUCUUUUUGAAAAAGUUGUACUACAUUUGUUAAAAAUUCUUAAUUCUUUUUGUGUGACAUUUAGUACCCUUAUCUAGACAAUUUGGAUGGUAUUUUCAUAUUGGCA